UAAGGAAUAUUGGUCAAUGGACGCAAGUCUGAACCAGCUAUGCCGCGUGAAGGAUUAAGGUCCUCUGGAUUGUAAACUUCUUUUAUCUGGGACGAAAAAAGGUCUUUCUAGAUCACUUGACGGUACCAGAUGAAUAAGCACCGGCUAACUCCGUGCCAGCAGCCGCGGUAAUACGGAGGGUGCAAGCGUUAUCCGGAUUCACUGGGUUUAAAGGGUGCGUAGGCGGGCAGGUAAGUCAGUGGUGAAAUC
rnacentral:rRNA from 1 species